AAAAAAACGCGACAAUGUCAAGUGUGAGUGAAGAUGUGAAGCAGCUGGGACCCUCGUACCUUGCGAGUGAGAGGCAAAACCGUGCCACCCUCGCGAGAACUGUGUCUCAGGGUCUUAGAAAGUUCAGCACACAAUUCAUUACCCUGUGGGCCAGCAGAUUCAUUCCUAGGCACAGUUGGCGGGCAGCUCCCAGGUCUCCAUGAGUACGGCGCCGUCGGGGGCUCCACACACACGGCCACUGCAGCCAUGUGGGCCUGUCAGCACUGCACGUUCAUGAACCAGCCAGGCACAGGCCACUGUGAGAUGUGCAGCCUCCCCAGGACCUAGGGCGCCUGCCCUCUGCUGGCUAGGACCGGGCCCAGCCCAGCCCUUCCUGAAGCCAGAAGCGUUGCUGAGUGUGUUCCCUGUAACUGCCCCAUAGUGGGCAGCCCUGGAGGAACAAGGGGCUGGCUGUCCUGGGCUCCCUGACCCACUGAAGCUUCUCAGCACGUUCCUCCCUGGAGAGCGGGCGCCACGGCUGGUAUUCUGCAGGCUGAAUGCAGUCUCCAGACUGGAAACGCAGAGUGGCUCCU
rnacentral:sRNA from 1 species